rnacentral:rRNA from 1 species
GGGCGUCUACCAUCGAGUUCGAACGAAGUAGCAGUACUUAGCUGGCAGACGGGUGCAGUAAACUGUAGGUGAUCGUGCCCUUUGGCGUGGAAUAACGCGAGGAAACGUUGAUGCUAAUACCGGAUAAGNCUUUAGGGAGAAAGCUUUAUGCACGAUUGGAGGAGCCUGCACUUGAUUAGUUUGUUGGGGGGGUAAUGGCCUACCAAGACUGUGAUCAAUAGCUGAUUUGAGAGGAUGAUCAGCCACAUUGGGACUGAGACACGGCCCAAACUCCUACGGGAGGCAGCAGUGGGGAAUCUUGCACAAUGGAGGAAACUCUGAUGCAGCGAUGCCGCGUGAGUGAAGAAGGCCCUUGGGUUGUAAAGCUCUUUCGUCGGGGAAGAAAAUGACUGUACCCGAAUAAGAAGGUCCGGCUAACUUCGUGCCAGCAGCCGCGGUAAUACGAAGGGACCUAGCGUAGUUCGGAAUUACUGGGCUUAAAGAGUUCGUAGGUGGUUGAAAAA